rnacentral:lncRNA from 1 species
GUUGGCCUGCGAUUAGCACACACCCAUCCCUGGGAACUGCUAGUCUGGAAAGCGGGGCUGCUUCUCCGGGAUGAGCCCGAGCCCUGCCAAGCCCCUCAAGGCAUUGAAGCUUUAGCUCACCUUAUCCGAAUGGUCAUUGGGCAUCUGGACUUGAGUUAACGACUGAAUUUUUCUGGGAAGCAAGGGACACGUUCUAAAAUAACCCCAGGAUCACUCUCCGAACUUGGCCUGAGUCUAGGCAAGCAGUGUUACUCGGUCGCCUUGAUCUUGGAGCUGCUGUGUACUGGGGACCUCAUACUAGUUGGGUUAACUAUAUUCCCAUUAGCAGUACGCGGGAUCGCAGUACUCGGGACAAGCUGAGUUCAGCUGCUAUGAGUAACACGAUCUGGAAAGACAGCGCUAGCAAGGAAUGAGGAGUGAUACAGUGACUGGAGGCUAAGAGAUAAUGUCUGCAAGUCACCUAAAACCAUUGCAGACACAGGGAGAUUGAUGGAUUUGGAGGACUUCUGGUUGUGAAGACUCUGACGAUUGCUAAAGAGUUAAGUGAAAUACUA